UUCUAUCUCUUUCUAACCAUAAUAUUUGGCUCAAAAUGAUUUAAAAUUAUUACUUUUAUAUAAAAAAAUAUUCUUAUUUUUCAUUUUUUUUUUGUUUUAUACAAAUAAUAUUUAAUAAAAAAAAUUAUGAAAUUUCUUAAGCUAAAACGCAAAGUGAUUCAGAAAUUAUCAUUCGCGAGAUAUGGAAACAACGGGUAUUCAGCCCUGUCUUCACUACAAAGCAUUAACAUUAGCGAUACCGAUAAGGCUUUAAAAAAAACGCUAAAUUCGGAAACAAAUAAUCGUCGAAAAAUUUCCGUUACUUUUCAAAAAAUGAAAAUCAGGGUUAGAAAAUUGAUGAGGAGCGCUAGGAAAUCGUGGGUGUAUGUACCACCCGUUUUUGAAAAUGACAUCAAUAAACGUCAUCCAUCGGAGAUUUGCCAAUAUUUCGAAUUCUUGUGCUUGAUGUGAUACCACAUUUUGGAAGGCGAACAUCUAAAUUCAGGAUCACAAAUAAUUAUUUAUGUAGAUUAAUACCACUAUAAUUUAUUUUAUAUGUAUGUAGAAUAUAAUUAAAAUAUACGAUUAGUCAAUUUAUAACAAAUUUCUUGUUAUUGUUUUAGUAAAAAAAAAAAGUUUUAUUUUGAAUAAAUAUAAAAUAUAUUUUAAA